GUAAAACGUUAAAGGUAAGUUGGACGGGGCCCGCACAAGCGGAGGAACAUGUGGUUUAAUUCGAUGAUACGCGAGGAACCUUACCUGGGCUUAAAUGUAGAGUGCAUUUUCUAGGGAUAGGAAUUCCCUUCGGGGCUUUCUACAAGGUGCUGCAUGGUUGUCGUCAGCUCGUGCCGUGAGGUGUCGGGUUAAGUCCCAUAACGAGCGCAACCCUUAUCGUUAGUUGCCAUCUGGUAAAGCAGGGGACUCUAGCGAAACUGCCACCGUAAGGUGAGAGGAAGGUGGGGAUGACGUCAAAUCAGCACGGCCCUUAUGUCCAGGGCUACACACGUGUUACAAUGGUCGGUACAGAGGGCAGCUACCUGGUGACAGGAUGCUAAUCUCGAAAACCGGCCUCAGUUCGGAUCGAAGUCUGCAACUCGACUUCGUGAAGCUGGAUUCGCUAGUAAUCGCGCAUCAGCCAUGGCGCGGUGAAUACGUUCCCGGGCCUU
rnacentral:rRNA from 1 species